CUGCGGUUACAUAAAAGAUUCGAUAUAUUGUUGACCUUGGCUAAAAACAGGCGAAAACCUCUCUCUCUCUCUAUCUCAACUCAAUCUAUCUGUAUUCGUCAUCUGUUUACGUGAUCUAUUUGGCUCCAUCUGACAUCUCGAUUUAUAAUUUGUGCUGAGCAAGUGCUUGAUAAUUUUCCACGACAUAU